UGACCAGUCCCAGGAGAGCUCUGCCUCUCUCCUGCCUGCAGCUAUAUGGGCUGUGGAUGGGAUGUGGGACCCUAGAACUGUCCCAUGCAGACCCCGAAAUGAAGCACAGCCUGGGGGGUUGUGGGGAGGCUGUGAGCAGGAGAUGCCAGGGGAGCACGGUGGCACCUGGUGGCUUUGCCAUGCCAUCUUGUGGCCAUGGGGUGCUGUGAGAUGAGGGAGAGCAGGAAGGAGGCAGGAGGAACAGGUCUGCAUCCUGGCACCAUGUCCCCGUACCACAGCCCCCAUGGAGAGCGCAGUGUCUGUUCUCUGCAGAGCCCCUACCAGAAAUACGAGGCUGUUCCGCUAUGGUGAGGCCCAUCCCGUCUGGCAGAGACCAUGCAGGCACAUUCCUGCCCUGGGAGUUCCCCUCUGCACUGUUGGUAUUUCCGUGGACGUGGUCACCUGUGCUGCUCGGCUGCCAGCCUCGCCUGGGCAUGAAUACUUCACUGGGACUGCACUUAUUAAUGGCCAGGGAUAAUUACAGCAGUGACAACGGAUUAUCCACAACUGCCUGUGGGGGAUGAGUGAACGUUGCUGCUGACACAGGGCAGAGGGGGGGAAGGAAGAGGCUGCACAGAGAAAGAGCAUCACCCUGGCAGCAGCUGCCAGUUCCAACACCAGAGGUGCAAACUGGUUCUGAUGAGCGCUGCUUGAGGAGGGAAGCACUGGGAGCCUUCGUCACCCUCCUCCCACCUGCUGCAGCAGGACCAAAGGUGUGCAAAGCCUGAAAUGCAUUGAAAUUGCAGGCCACCAUGAGCGUUGGCAUGCCACCCUCCACCUCCAGCCUUCACUGCCCUUCCGCCAGCAUCAAAGG
ensembl:lncRNA